AGUGAACGCUGGCGGUAGGCCUAACACAUGCAAGUCGAACGGCAGCACAGUAAGAGCUUGCUCUUACGGGUGGCGAGUGGCGGACGGGUGAGGAAUACAUCGGAAUCUACUUUUUCGUGGGGGAUAACGUAGGGAAACUUACGCUAAUACCGCAUACGACCUACGGGUGAAAGCAGGGGAUCUUCGGACCUUGCGCGAUUGAAUGAGCCGAUGUCGGAUUAGCUAGUUGGCGGGGUAAAGGCCCACCAAGGCGACGAUCCGUAGCUGGUCUGAGAGGAUGAUCAGCCACACGGGAACUGAGACACGGUCCAGACUCCUACGGGAGGCAGCAGUGGGGAAUAUUGGACAAUGGGCGCAAGCCUGAUCCAGCCAUACCGCGUGGGUGAAGAAGGCCUUCUGGUUGUAAAGCCCUUUUGUUGGGAAAGAAAAGCAGCAGGUUAAUACCCCGCUGUUCUGACGGUACCCAAAGAAUAAGCACCGGCUAACUUCGUG
rnacentral:rRNA from 1 species